rnacentral:piRNA from 1 species
UCUGUUUCUAGCAAGAUGAUACACCCAAGCCU